rnacentral:rRNA from 1 species
UACGGGGGGGGCAAGCGUUGUUCGGAAUUACUGGGCGUAAAGGGUUUGUAGGUGGCUUGUUAAGUCAGACGUGAAAUCCCUCAGCUUAACUGGGGAACUGCGUCUGAGACUGGUGAGCUUGAGUGCAGGAGAGGAACGCGGAAUUCCAGGUGUAGCGGUGAAAUGCGUAGAGAUGGGGGAGAACACUCGUGGCGAAGGCGGCCAGCUAGACCAGUUCUGACACUGAGGCGCGACAGCGUGGGGAGCAAACAGG